rnacentral:tRNA from 1 species
GCACCCUUAGCUCAGCUGGAUAGAGCAUCUGACUACGAAUCAGAAGGUCGGGCGUUCGAAUCGCUCAGGGUGCG